AAAGCUCCAAAUUGCAUGCACACUGGAAUAGCCUGGGUUAAACAAAGUAAAACAAACACUGAUGUCUGGUGCCACCCCUGAGAAUGAUUACACAGAUGUAGGGUGUGGCCUGGGCAGCGAGAACUUAAAAAGUGUCUCAGGGGAAAGACCAGGGGUUUUUGCUCAUUUGUUUAAUUUUUAAAAUUUGACCAGAGGACACUGGAACCCGGAACCACCAGCCACGCAGGAUGGGCAAUGUUGAAACAGGAUCAGAAAGGCAAAGCCACCUGCUCAAGGUUGCGCACAGGACGCACACCCAUUUCUGACACUCGAACCCCUGCUCUGAACACCACGCGUGCUGCCUAACUACAUGUGCGCGUGCAGCGUUUUGUGAACAGAAAUGCUCUCCCUGUUGCAGAGGAGGAAACCGUGGCACAGGGUUUGAGCGACUUGCUCAAGGUCCCAUAGUGGCAAGUGAUGGGAUCAAGGCUGGGAAUCCAUGAAGUCUCCAAGUCCAGUUUCUCCCCACCACCAUGCUGCUCUUGGAAAUCUGCUGUUUUCCGGCCCCUGCUGCCUCUGGAGAGUGUGGUCAGGGCUUGGGGUGGACGUGAAAUUGAGUCAGAACCCAACUAAUUACUAAGAGUGCAUCAUAAAGCCUUUAGAAUGGAAAAUUAUUAUUUUUGUUGUUUUAAAAUAACACCUGAAAACUUCUCAUCAACGAAAUCUUUAGUUGAAACACAAUUAUCUCACUGACCUGCUCCUCAGUGUUCCUCGUUGUGAUAACAAACUUGAUGGAAUAAAAUUCUAACAAAACUA